UGUGGGUAGGGGUGAAAGGCCAAUCAAACUCGGAAAUAGCUCGUACUCCCCGAAAUGCAUUUAGGUGCAGCGUUGAGUAAAAGUUUUAUAGAGGUAGAGCUACUGAUUGGAUGCGGGGGCUUCAUCGCCUACCAAUUCCUGACAAACUCCGAAUGCUAUAAAAUGUUUCUCAGCAGUGAGGGCAUGGGUGCUAAGGUCCAUGUCCGAAAGGGAAAGAACCCAGAUCAUCAGCUAAGGUCCCCAAAUGUGUGUUAAGUUGACAAAACGCGGUCAGAUUGCAUAGACAGCUAGGAUGUUGGCUUGGAAGCAGCCAUUCAUUUAAAGA
rnacentral:rRNA from 1 species